CAGAACCAUACCCAGAAGGCUUGCAAAAGGCUUUCCAAAAGGAAGUCACGCCUACGUUGUGUUCAAAGGGUCCAAUCGUGUUGCCCAGGCUGCAGUGUGGUUGUACAAUCACGGCUCACUGCAGCCUCCACCUCCCAGGCCCACGUGAUCCUCCCACCUCAGCCGCCUGAGUAGCUGGGACCACAGGUGUGCACUACCAUACCUAAUUUUUUUGUUUGUUUGAGACAGGGUCUCGCUCUGUUGCUUAGGCUGGAGUGCAGUGGUGAGAUCACGGCUUACUGCAGCCUUGACCUUCUGGGCUCAGACUAGGCACCAAAAUCACAUAGACUUGAUUCAUCCAAUGAACAAUAAAUAUGAUGCACCUACCACACCCCAGGUGCUGUUACAGAUGCUGGAGAUAUAGCCACAAAUAAGACAAGAUUCUUGCACACCAUGGAGUCUGUACACUAGUGUGUGAUGACUAGUUUUAUAUGUCAGCUGGGAUGGUGUUUUUGGAUGAAAUUAACAUUUAAAUCACUUAACUCUGAGUAAGCAGAUUGCCCUCCAUUAUGUGUGUGAGCCUCAUCCAGUCAGCUAAAGGCCUGAAUAGAAAGAAAAGAACAGCUUCCCCGAGUAAGAGUGAUUUCCCAACAGACUGCCUUUGGACUGGAACUGCACCAUCAUGCCAAAAAGCAGAAGGUAACACAAGCAGGAGAAAAAAAAAUCAAUCAACAGAAACAGACCCAGAAAUGACAGAGUUGAUGGAAUCCACAGAUACAACUUUAAAUAUGUCAACAAGGAAAAAUGGUUAUGCUAGACUGGUGCAAUUAUGAUUUUUUUCUUAUUUUUCUAAAUAUAUGAAAAUUAAACAAAAAGAACAUUAAUCCCUUAUAUGAAUAUUUAUUUUUUGAUGAUGAACAUUAUUCCCAAGAACAGAUAAAUGAAGGAAAUGAUAAACACCACAUUUAAGACAUUGAUUACCUCUUGGGGGAGGGAGACAGGGAGAAGGGUGCAACUGGGAUAGCUAUGUAGAACUAGACAGUGUGGUAGUACUACAUUUCUUAAGCUAAGAGGUGUGGAUGUGCCAUUGUAUUAUUCUUUAUACAGGUACUUUGUUUAUCUUAAAUAUUGCAAAAUACAAUUCAAAAAUAAACAAGGGCUGGGUGCAGUGGCUCACGCUUGUAAUCCCAACACUUUGAGAGGCCAAGGCGAGUGGAUCACCUGAGGUCAGGAGUUUGAGACUAGCCUGGCCAACACGGUAAAACCCUGUCUCUACUAAAAAUACAAAAAGUAUCUGGGCAUGGUGGUGGGUGCCUGAUAUCCCAGCUACUCAGGAGGCUGAAGCAGGAGAAUCGCUUGAACCCAGGAGGCAAGGUUGAAGUGAGCCGAGAUUGUGCCAUUGCACUCCAGCCUGGGAGAUAAGAGCGAAACUCCGUCUCAAAAAAAUAAAAAGUAAAAAUAAAAAUAAACAGUUACAGAAACAAUACCACAUAUUUAUAUUCAGAAUAGGAGUAGUAGUGUUAUUUCCAAAACUUUUUAUGAUCUCCCCCAUGAUCUUUCAAGAUAUGUUACUGAAAUGAGAUCAAAAGCGUGAAAGAGAUCCUCAGUGCAUGUGUGAUUUCCCUUUAGAUGUUAUCUUCUGAGGAUGUAUCCAGUUUUCUCAACAAGGCAGACUUGCUAUGUCCCUCUGAAAAUUUCUUUCCCUUUACUGUAUAACUUGCUUUUUGUUAAUUCCACGUUUAGUUAUAGUUAUUGUUCUCUGCCUCUUCAGUGUUUAUCUUUCAUCUCAAUAUUAAACACUGAUAUUGGGUAACUGAGUAAUGUUCAAUUAUUCCUUUCCUUGUGUUAUUUUUAUCCUAAGUGACUGCAAUUAUCUUCAUACAUGGAACAUGAAAAAUUUUAUUG
rnacentral:lncRNA from 1 species